AGCGAACGCUGGCGGCAGGCCUAACACAUGCAAGUCGAACGAAGUCUUCGGACUUAGUGGCGGACGGGUGAGUAACACGUGGGAACGUGCCUUUAGGUUCGGAAUAACUCAGGGAAACUUGUGCUAAUAACGAAUGUGCCCUUCGGGGGAAAGAUUUAUCGCCUUUAGAGCGGCCCGCGUCUGAUUAGCUAGUUGGUGAGGUAAAGGCUCACCAAGGCGACGAUCAGUAGCUGGUCUGAGAGGACGAUCAGCCACAUUGGGACUGAGACACGGCCCAAACUCCUACGGGAGGCAGCAGUGGGGAAUCUUGCGCAAUGGGCGAAAGCCUGACGCAGCCAUGCCGCGUGAAUGAUGAAGGUCUUAGGAUUGUAAAAUUCUUUCACCGGGGACGAUAAUGACGGUACCCGGAGAAGAAGCCCCGGCUAACUUCGUGCCAGCCGCCGCUGUAAUAC
rnacentral:rRNA from 1 species